rnacentral:rRNA from 1 species
GACGAAGGAUGCAAGCGUUAUCCGGAUUCAUUGGGUUUAAAGGGAGCGUAGGUGGCCUUAUAAGUCAGUGGUGAAAUCUCUGGGCUUAACCCAGAAAUUGCCAUUGAUACUGUAGGGCUUGAGUACAGUUGCUGUGGGCGGAAUAUGACAUGUAGUGGUGAAAUACAUAGAGAUGUCAUAGAACACCGAUUGCGAAGGCAGCUCACAAAACUGUAACUGACACUGAGGCUCGAAAGUGCGGGAUCAAACAGG